rnacentral:rRNA from 1 species
GACGAACCGAGCGAACGUUGUUCGGAAUCACUGGGCUUAAAGGGCGCGUAGGCGGGUGCUCAAGUCUGGGGUGAAAUCCUCCGGCUCAACCGGAGAACUGCCAUGGAUACUGGGUGUCUCGAGGGUGGUAGGGGUAUGCGGAACUAUCGGUGGAGCGGUGAAAUGCGUUGAUAUCGAUAGGAACUCCGGUGGCGAAGGCGGCAUACUGGACCACUUCUGACGCUGAGGCGCGAAAGCCAGGGGAGCAAACGGG